AGUGAACGCUGGCGGUAGGCCUAACACAUGCAAGUCGAACGGCAGCACAGGAGAGCUUGCCCUCUGGGUGGCGAGUGGCGGACGGGUGAGGAAUACAUCGGAAUUUACUCUGUCGUGGGGGAUAACGUAGGGAAACUUACGCUAAUACCGCAUACGACCUACGGGUGAAAGCAGGGGACCUUCGGGCCUUGCGCGAUUGAAUGAGCCGAUGUCGGAUUAGCUAGUUGGCGGGGUAAAGGCCCACCAAAGCGACGAGCCGUAGCUGGUCUGAGAGGAUGAUCAGCCACACUGGAACUGAGACACGGGCCAGACUCCGACGGGAGGCAGGAGUGGGGAAUAUUGGACAAUGGGCGCAAGCCUGAUCCAGCCAUACCGCGUGGGUGAAGAAGGCCUUCGGGUUGUAAAGCCCUUUUGUUGGGAAAGAAAUCCAGCUGGCUAAUACCCGGUUGGGAUGACGGUACCCAAAGAAUAAGCACCGGCUAACUUCGUGCCAGCCGCCGCCGUAA
rnacentral:rRNA from 1 species